UAUAGUCUAUUUGUUAUAAAUAUUAUAUAUAUAUGGCAUGGAUAUAUAUAUAAUUAACAAAGAAUAAAAAAAUUAGUCCAAAGUAAUUAUUUUAAUUAGAGGUGUAUUUCUAUUAAUUCUUCACAGUAUAGGUCGGAAUUGUUAUUUGUACACUUAAUGGGUAUUUAUUUUAAACAAACAGGUUACAUAUACGGUUACUGCUCGUUUAAACAUUACAAUUAUUUGUUACAUCCUUAGAAUACAAUUUACUGUAACAUUUUGUGCGUUACUAAUCUAUAUCUGUGUGGUAACGUCACAUACCGAAGAAAAUGCCUAUAAUUUAUUACAACAAACUUCUCCAUUAAUUCUUAACCUCGUAAUCGCUAACCAUACGCAUCGAUAGACACUCCCAGCAACUACAGAAGCUUCAAAAUAUUUAAAUAUUUUAAAUCGGUUCUUCGAUAGUACGAAUCCUUUUACACAACAAUUUUGCUUAGAGCAAAUAAAAUCAUCUGUCAUUUACUUCCAUGUAUUUGCUUCCAAGGAUAAUUCUCUUGGAAAUAUAUAAUUUUUUUAUUGAAUACACAACACUGUAGAAUGCCCGAUUUCAAUUUUGCACUAUUCAUUUUCGAUUUAUAAAAAGUAUUCGUGAUAUUUAUAUCUUUGAUUGAAAUAUUAAAAAAAGUAAGUUCUUAUGCAAAAGAAAAAUAAUUCUUUUGCGAAAAUAUAAAGCCGAUCCCCACUAGGCGGCAAUAGUAAAAUGCAGUUGUCGUAUCGUGUCGUUGAUGGAUCAUAAAUAUAUUAUAUAUUUGACAAUAUAUUAAUAUUAUUAUACACAUAUAAUAUAUAAUAUAAAUAUAAUAUAUUAAUAGUAUUAAUAUAUGUAUAUGUAUAGAAUGUGAAUUAUAAUAAUAUUCAUAUAGGAGCCUCUUAUUGUAGCAUACAAAUAUUAUUAUAACAGGAAUAUAAUAUUAUAAAUAGAUUCAAUAUAUUAGAUCCUUCUCUAUAUAGAUGUAUUUUAGCGUGUAUUUGCCGAGACUCGACGUGUCGCAGUGUGAAUCGGCUUUCAAUCAUUAUCAAAUAUUUUUUUCUUGGUUUUUCACGAUUAGAGAUAAAUCUGAAUAUUUGAAUGUUCGAUUCAUUUAUCAUAUGUCGAGUUUCAUAGACAUUUUCAACGAUAGCAAUAUUUUCAUUAGCUUUCUACAAAUGAUCUUAUGAGGUAACGUGAAAAUGCAAGAAAAUUGGAACCGAUAAAGCAUGAAUGAUGUUAAAAACGUUUAAUUACACGCGAAAAAUUCGAAAAGCGUGAUUCAAGCUUGCAAUACUUUUUUUUUUCCAUUGUUUAUCAGAUUGAGAGAUAAGUGAAAAUGUAUGAAAUUGUAAGAAAUUGAAAAAUAUCUUUUAUAUGCACAAUGACAAGUGCAAAAGUUCUUUAAUAUCUACUAUUUAUAGAUUGAUUUCAUAUUGUUUUAAUUGGAAAAUAUAUGAUUGAUGAGUUUCAGUUAUAAUAAAGAGAGAUUUAAGAGAUUCACCUCUCAACAUAAAGUUUUACUGAUGUAAUAAUUGUAUGAUAUAUUGCAUAAUAUUCAAAUUUUCUUCAUAAUGUGUAUUUUAAUAUGAGAAUACUGUACAGAAUCGAGCUCUUUGCGGAUUUUCAAUUUUCUGAACCGCAUUUAAACUUUAAUUCGAAAAUGCUUUCAAAAUUUGUUUAUUAUAACAACUUUUUGAUAAAUUUUUCACAAAGUUAUUUCAAUAUAAGAGUUAUCAGAAACAAGUGCAAAAAUUUAUGUGAUAUAUUUCCAAAGAUAUAUUAUGUAUGUGCAUAUAAUAAUUGUCUUUCGUACAAAUAGAAAGUACAUACAAUCAUGUUUUGCGUGAUGUACGAUAGAAACAUUGCGGUACGUGACAAUGCAUAACAGGAAUCGGUGAUGCACAUUGAAAAUAUUUACAGAAGAAAUAAACAGCAAUUAAUAUCAACAAUUAGGUCGUUAACGAGACUGAUAAGACCAUAACAGGUUUGCACAUUUAAUAUUCAAGAGUAUAUUAUAUUUAAAGAAAUCGAUAGUUUUUUAAAAGAAUUUUCUUCAUUUCAUUCUUGGAUAUUCGCAUGAAAUGAAAGAAAUCAGCUGGUCAAAUUUAUAUAAUUUAAAUAAUACGAUGUAACAUCUGAAUAAAAUUAUUCUAAAGUAAAAUCUUUUGACAAAUAUUUUAUAAAUUUUUUGACACAAUGAACGUCGUGCUUUAUAGGACGAAACGAUGUAUAAUAUACAAUAAUAACAUUAUAACGCGAUAAGUUUAUUUUGUAGCUAAUUAAUCAGGUGUUCUGUUCAAAAUAGUUCAAAAAUUUCUAAUCGUUGAUAAAAAUAAAUCGAACAUUAAUAUUAAAUAUAGGGGAAACUUAGCAUUUUCGAUAUAAUACUUAUGUCUUAUUUAAAGGGAAUUUAUAAAAUAUAUUGGGUACAAACAGUUAAACACAGAGUCUUUUAAUUAUUUCGAAUGGUGCGUCUAAUUAUAAUACAUAUAUCUUUCAUCCCUUUCCUCGAAGGAAUAAAAAAUAAUUUUCAUCGAAUAAAUUACCACGUAUAUUACCAAACUUUAAUUCUUUAUGCCCUUUUUCAACGAUCGAUAGUCAAUCAUUCAGGAUAAAAAAGAAUCAGGAUGUUCCAGAGAACAGCGCAAAAGAGGAGCGAAAUAAAGGAGAAGAACGAGUGCUCUUAACGAUCGUAAAAAGCAGCGGUAACGUUUUUAGGCCUGCUAAAAACAACGUAUACUUCUUCUACUGGUAAAUUCGACAAAACCGAAGGAAGAUGGACUAGAUAAAAAUAGAAUACGAUACGAAACGCGCACCCAUUACAUGGCAGUUCGACCGGGCCGUUCGAAGCCUCUUUUUAUGUCGAAUUAUUGCGUCUACGGGGUUGUGAAAGCAUCUGUGCCUGCCUACAUAUGUGUAUAAAUGCGCGUCUUAUGUUUUAUAUAUGUAUCCAUAAUCGUGUGUCGUUACGGUGCGGAUCUAACGCGUAAAAAUAUAUGCCUCUAAUCAUCGAAAAAUAACUCGCAGUACCAAUAUGACGGGAUGGACAUAUCCUUAAAAGUUAAAACGAUAUAACUUCGACGACACGUUUAUCGAUUAAACAUGUUGUUUGCCUCAGACAUGCGCCGUCUUGCCGGUUAUAAUUUCCUUUUUUUUUUUCGACCAAUCGAUCCUCCAUUGAUUUUUUGUAAUCAUAUCGUACGCGUUAUCAUUACGUGCAUAUACCUCGUUAUUAUUUGAAUUGGACUUACAUUAAACAUGAUGUUAGAAUAAAAACGACGAAUUCAAUCGACUAGUUAAUUAUAUCGCGGCGAACUUAUCGAUGUGUGAACGAUAAGUUGCAUGUGACAUUACCUCGAAAAGGAAAGAAAUAAGAUCGACUCUCGAGUGAUUAUCAAAGAUUGCAACUGCUAUCAUUUCCUCGAAUCAAUUCAUUCACAAGUACAUGCUUUGCACCCUAUCCUCUCCGUGCCGAGAAUUCGUUUGAUAUUUUGAAAUUUAUUCGAUGCUGUUGUAAUUUUUCACUGUUCUCGUUCGCGAAUCUUCGCACGAAAUCCACGGACGAUUCGAUACGAAUGGCCGAAUCGUCGAGUCUCGACGACGGUUCGUACGGUUAAAAUUAUACGAAGGGAGGAGCAGAACACGGCGAUGGCACACCCGUGGUAACAUCGUGCCAUCGAAAUUUUUAAUCAAUUUUCGAUAUAUCGGGGCUCACGAUCGCAAACAAUCCUUGCUGAGCAUUGUCAACCACCACGAUAAAUUUCGUGUUAACGUAUGAACGAGGGAAUUUAUCGAUCGUGCGUUCAUUUCGAACGCACGAAUACGAGUUUGGCGGCUGAUUAAACGAAAACUUUCGAGUAUACAUGGACAAGCGAUUAAAUCGACUCGAAUAAUCGGAUCUGCACGAGGAAACGCGCCAACCGCGGUUCUUUUACGAAUUUACGAAAGACCUUCCAGCCAAUUAAUUCGUCCAGCUCGUUCCGUUUCCAUUGAUGAUUGGACGAAACUCGAGACAACCUUCUUCGAGUAACAGCAUUCUUCGAAUUCAUACUUGACCGCGAUUCAAUUCGACGAUAGUUCAUUUCAUGAUUCGUUGAGUUUCGUGGCAAGCAACGUGAUCUUGUUAUCGUCUCGUUAAAUUUUCCAAUUUAUUAUUCGCGAAAUAUAACAGGAUUCGUUCCAUACAUCGAUGAAAUGCCUAUUCGAGAACGUCGAGAUAUAGGAUAAUGAUUAAAACCACGCUCACACGAUUGUGUGCGCGUAUAUAAUCUUAAAACGUAUUAUAAGCAUAUAUGUAUAUAUAUAUAUAUAUAUACUAAUCUAAAAUAUACUGUGCCACUUCAACGUGAAUUGGUACCGUAAUAUGAAUUAUCAAGAUAUAAAUUCGAAGUUUCAUUUUGUUUAUUCAGAAUAGAUACUAUCCAUAUCUUUCGUAAUACUAUAGUAGUUUCGAAAGGACGAAGAAUACGUAAGUAAGUACGAUACGGAUCGAAAAUUGUUCCAUGAGGAUUAUCGGUGUUCGAAAGUUUAUGCGAACCUGUAAGCUCGAUAUUCAAACAAAUCGGCGGCGAGAAACAUAAAAAUUGCCAUAAAAUUUCGAGGGAUCAACGAAAGGGUUGGCGUGCGAUCGUACGAAGCGGACUCGGCGACAAAUGGAAAAGCAAAGACCCGAGAGAAGGCCCGAUUCCCUGCUAUAUUGUUUCUAUCGUUCGAUUUACUUUCCUCCUUUGUGUGUGUUUUUUCGUUCUCUCUCUCUCUUCUUUUUUGUUGUCUCUUCUUUUUUUAUUCUUUUACUUUUUUUCUUUUUUUUUUUUUUUUUGAGUUUCAUGAUCGGGCAUACUAUCGACGAUUCGAUUUCGAAAAAAA